GAUGAACGCUGGCGGCGUGCCUAAUACAUGCAAGUCGAGCGAACGGACGAGAAGCUUGCUUCUCUGAUGUUAGCGGCGGACGGGUGAGUAACACGUGGAUAACCUACCUAUAAGACUGGGAUAACUUCGGGAAACCGGAGCUAAUACCAGAUAAUAUUUUGAACCGCAUGGUUCAAAAGUGAAAGACGGUCUUGCUGUCACUUAUAGAUGGAUCCGCGCUGCAUUAGCUAGUUGGUAAGGUAACGGCUUACCAAGGCAACGAUGCAUAGCCGACCUGAGAGGGUGAUCGGCCACACUGGAACUGAGACACGGUCCAGACUCCUACGGGAGGCAGCAGUAGGGAAUCUUCCGCAAUGGGCGAAAGCCUGACGGAGCAACGCCGCGUGAGUGAUGAAGGUCUUCGGAUCGUAAAACUCUGUUAUUAGGGAAGAACAUAUGUGUAAGUAACUGUGCACAUCUUGACGGUACCUAAUCAGAAAGCCACGGCUAACUACGUGCCAGCAGCCGCGGUAAUACGUAGGUGGCAAGCGUUAUCCGGAAUUAUUGGGCGUAAAGCGCGCGUAGGCGGUUUUUUAAGUCUGAUGUGAAAGCCCACGGCUCAACCGUGGAGGGUCAUUGGAAACUGGAAAACUUGAGUGCAGAAGAGGAAAGUGGAAUUCCAUGUGUAGCGGUGAAAUGCGCAGAGAUAUGGAGGAACACCAGUGGCGAAGGCGACUUUCUGGUCUGUAACUGACGCUGAUGUGCGAAAGCGUGGGGAUCAAACAGGAUUAGAUACCCUGGUAGUCCACGCCGUAAACGAUGAGUGCUAAGUGUUAGGGGGUUUCCGCCCCUUAGUGCUGCAGCUAACGCAUUAAGCACUCCGCCUGGGGAGUACGACCGCAAGGUUGAAACUCAAAGGAAUUGACGGGGACCCGCACAAGCGGUGGAGCAUGUGGUUUAAUUCGAAGCAACGCGAAGAACCUUACCAAAUCUUGACAUCCUUUGACAACUCUAGAGAUAGAGCUUUCCCCUUCGGGGGACAAAGUGACAGGUGGUGCAUGGUUGUCGUCAGCUCGUGUCGUGAGAUGUUGGGUUAAGUCCCGCAACGAGCGCAACCCUUAAGCUUAGUUGCCAUCAUUAAGUUGGGCACUCUAAGUUGACUGCCGGUGACAAACCGGAGGAAGGUGGGGAUGACGUCAAAUCAUCAUGCCCCUUAUGAUUUGGGCUACACACGUGCUACAAUGGACAAUACAAAGGGCAGCGAAACCGCGAGGUCAAGCAAAUCCCAUAAAGUUGUUCUCAGUUCGGAUUGUAGUCUGCAACUCGACUACAUGAAGCUGGAAUCGCUAGUAAUCGUAGAUCAGCAUGCUACGGUGAAUACGUUCCCGGGUCU
rnacentral:rRNA from 1 species